rnacentral:rRNA from 1 species
AACGAACGCUGGCGGCGUGGAUAAGACAUGCAAGUCGAACGCUGAUUUCAAGGUAGCAAUAUUUUGAAGUUGGAGUGGCGCAAGGGUGUGUAACACGUGGGUAAUCUGCCGUGAAGCCUGGGAUAACUUGCUGAAAGGCGAGCUAAUACCGGAUGUGAAAAUUAGAAGGCAUCUUUUGAUUUUCAAAGUUGGGGACCGCAAGGCCUGACGCUUUAUGAUGAACCCGCGGCCAUCAGCUAGUUGGUGAGGUAAUAGCUCACCAAGGCUAAGACGGGUAGCUGGUCUGAGAGGACGACCAGCCACACUGGAACUGAGACACGGUCCAGACACCUACGGGUGGCAGCAGUCGAGAAUUUUUCUCAAUGGGCGAAAGCCUGAAGGAGCGACGCCGCGUGGGGGA